rnacentral:rRNA from 1 species
AGUGAACGCUGGCGGUAGGCCUAACACAUGCAAGUCGAACGGCAGCACAGUAAGAGCUUGCUCUUACGUGUGGCUUGUGGCGGACUUGUUAGGAAUACAUCGGAAUCUACUUUUUCGUGGUGCAUAACGUAGGGAAACUUACGCUAAUACCGCAUACGACCUACGGGUGAAAGCAUGGUAUCUUCUCACCUUGCUCGAUUGACUGCGCCGAUGUCGGAUUAGCUAGUUGGCGGGGUAAAGGCCCACCAAGGCGGCGAUCCGAAGCUGGUCUGAGAGGAUGAUCAGCCACACUGGAACUGAGACACGAUCCAGACUCCGAAGGGAGGCAGCAGUGGGGAAUAUUGGACAAGGGGGGAAAGCCGGAUCCAGCAAUACCGAGUGGGUGAAGAAGGAGUUCGGGUUGUAAAGCCAUUUUGUUGGGAAAGAAAAGAGGCAGGUUAAUACCGCGAUGAUAUGACGGUACCAAAAGAAUAAGCACCGGCUAAAUUCGUA